UUACUCUUUCCCUCCUCGAUCUAUUUUCCACCCGACUCAUUAUUGAUUUCUCUUCUGCCGACGCUGCAGUUUGUAAUCAAUAUUAAUUGAUAAGAGAAACAAUUCUAAUCGAUCAUCCGAAAUUGCCCAAAAGUAAGUUCAAUCAUUCGAUUUCACUCGUAAUAACAGCUGAAAUUUGAAUUUAUAGCCAAAGAGGGAAAGUUUUUGAGAAGAAUUUCUUAAAAUUAUGGAUUACAAUUUAGAAGCGCUGAAAUUGCUGUGCAUCCAACUGAACGACGCUCGCAAAGCGACGUCGGAGCAAGCCUUCACUCUCGACGGCAUUCUCAUCCAACGCUCCUGGCUACAGGUAUAUAUAUGGCAUUUUAGCCUCUAACUGUCGCCCUCCGACUCCUACUCCGGCGGAUGCUUCCUCCUAGACGAUGACACUGGUGUUACUGAGCUACUCCUCUCCGGCGACUUCGGUAGUCGCAAUUGGAAAGCAGGGAUGUACGUGAUCGACUGAUGGUGAUUGGAGUUUAUUUUGUCCGUAGUGGUGAUAGCUCCGUGUAAAGGUUCACAAAAUGGUUGAUCUUUCUCCCUUUCCAGAUGGGGGUCUGUGAUACCUUGAAGUCACAGAGAUCUUCAAAAUGUUCUACCUGCUUAUGUUCCAAGAUUUACUGCUGGGGUGAGAGAACAAGGUUUCGAAGAAAUUCAUGCGUUCCAUUGAAUACGUUUCCCAGGAAGCAGUGAAGACUGCUAAUUUAUGCGAAGAAAAGGUUUAGAGGUGGUUAGUUUCCAACCAUAUGUCAUCUCGUAUCACACUCUUCAACUUGACCUGAUCAUGUAGUUUCAAAUGAUUUUAUGUGCAAUCAUAUCUAUCUUAUUAAUUGCAAUUUCUUGAAGCCUUCAAGCAAGGCAUGA